GGUUUUUCCCCAUAACCGUUUUUAUUUCAAAUUUAACACGAAAAAUCAUACAAACACACCCUAAAAAUGUCAACAUGAACAUUUGGCAAGCCAUGGGAACUUAUUUAAAAUUACAAUAACCCAAGAAGAAUGUGAAAUAUAUCAAGUCAACAUAAACCAUCCAUGGAAAAAGGGUCCUGGUAAGAAACCGGGCUUGCCUCUUUGUAAUUAAUCUUUAAAUGUCACAUGUUCAAUUAUAAGCUAUGUUUAAUUCUCUAUAUUGUACAUUUUUACAAUAAAAAUAUCUAGCUACAUAUAGUGUAAUUAUACAUUACAUUAAGAUUUCUCUAUAACCAUUCACACUUUAAGAAUCUUUAUUUUAAAAAAUAAAAUAUAUUUUUAAAAAAAAGAGCACUGGUACCAGGAAAUUAGUGACAGAUUGGAACAGUCAAAUCUGCUUGAGCAUUAUAUGUCAAUCAAAGUAAUCCAAGAUAAUGAACGGAGAAGACUUGUAUUCUCAGCAGCACAGUUUGCACCACACGUACACAAUCAGGUCCUUCGCACAAACCUGGCGAAGCCUACUGGAAAUACUGUGGGCUUAGUGGCACUUUGUGUAUUUUUUGGUCAGUUAUGAAGAAGUGGUUAGUUUAAAGAUCUGCCAAGUUUAAGACAUGCACAUCAUUUAAAAACUAAUAAUAAUAAUAAUAAUAAUAAUAAUAGGAUCCCUUUUCACAGACAGAAAGAAUGCGUUUGCACAGUUUCCGGAGAGCCACUUUAGCUGCAGAGUAAACCGAAUGGCUGAUCAAAUAUUCAUGCACAUUAAUACACUAUUCACAGAUCAAGUUUAAAGGUAAUGGUUUGCACAAUUAAAAAUCGUAUAGCCCAAUCAUCAACACUAAAAAAAAAAUUAUUAUUAUUAUUAUUUUAAGUUAUAAAAUCUGAUCUAAUAAUGAAACAAUGGAUCCCUUUUGGGGGAAACAGGCUAUGAGAGUAAUCCUUUUUUCAAUUCUUUUGACAAACAAGUCAAUCUUUAUGCAUCACAAUGCAAUGAUUGUCUACUGAUUGCCUUAUGUAAUCUCUCCUUUCAUCCUAAUAGCGUUAAUCAUGAUCAACAAGUGCUACAAAAAUGGUACCAUGCUUGGUAUGUGUCUCACAGAUAAUGUGGAAUGCAUAUUAUAAUAUCUCUCUUGUCCUCUUAACACUCCGUGAAGAGCGAUAGUACAUAUGAAUUGAUCAGGACCAUGACACUGCACGGUGUUCUCUGGUCUAGAGGUACGUCAGGCUGGAGCUGUUUAGACAUCAUGUAGUGUGCUUAAAACAUUCAUUUUAUCGUAGAUGUAUGGAAAAGUGUCUUUCACUUGCAAUGCAUAGUUACGAUUUAGUCGCAAAUACAAAGUUGCUAUUUAUUUGUAAAUGCUAAAUAAUUCAAACAUAUGUGCAAAAGUUUGGUCACCUUCUUUUAUAUAUAUAUAUAAAAAUAUUAUUAUUAUUAAUAAUAUUAUUUUAACUAAUGGCCUAAAUCCUCUUCACCUGAGAAUAUUUCAGUUAGCCAGGUAAAGUUUCAUUUUUGCAUUCUGCUAAAGACAGCUUCUGGUCUCUGAUCCAGCUGUGAUAGUGUGUGUGUGAGUGCGUGUGUGCAUGUGUGUGUGUGUGAAUAAUCAGAUUCAAAAGGUUUAGCCGUUUUCCUCUCCGAGUGCAGAUCAUCUCCCGACAGGUGGCGCAGGGGGAGCUCCUCGUAUAUUAGCUACAGUGCGAGACAAUACAGAAAGUUUAUCAUCAGGCAGAGUGGCAAAGCAAUACGACAAGGAGAAAUGACAAGAAGCUCAGAUGACGUACAGAUAUACAAAACCAUUUAUCUUACGUACGCACAGGUCUCAGGAGAUGCCAGACCCUCUUUAAAUAGCUCAAGAACACUUGACUUUUUGUGCGUGUGUAUUUUUGUGUCAUGUAUAGUCCAAAUUAGGACUGAUGAGAAGAAGAAAAAAAAGAAAAAAGUUUAUACUGAAUGCAAUUCAGUUCAAGCACAGCACCAUUAUUCCCUCUUAUUUGCUGUGACCAGUAGGCAUUACACCACCUGACCUUACACUCGCACCUAAAGCACAGAAUUUUUUUCUCCUCCCUGUGUGUGCAUGUAUUUUUAUUAUUUGCAUCGAUUCAUUUAAUUUUGUUGUGUGUGUACG
ensembl:lncRNA